rnacentral:rRNA from 1 species
CGAUGAAKCCUAGCUUGCUAGGUGGAGUAGUGGCGCACGGGUGAKUAACGCAUAGAUAACAUGCCCUUUAGUUUGGGAUAGCCACUAGAAAUGGUGAUUAAUACCAAAUACUACCCUAUGGGGGAAAGAUUUAUCGCUAAAGGAUUGGUCUAUGUCCUAUCAGCUUGUUGGUGAGGUAAAGGCUCACCAAGGCUAUGACGGGUAUCCGGCCUGAGAGGGUGAACGGACACACUCCAACUGAGACACGGUCCAGACUCCUACGGGAGGCAGCAGUAGGGAAUAUUGCUCAAUGGGCGCAAGCCUGAAGCAGCAACGCCGCGUGGAGGAUGAAGGUUUUAGGAUUGUAAACUCCUUUUGUCAGAGAAGAUAAUGACGGUAUCUGACGAAUAAGCACCGGCUAACUCCGUGCCAGCAGCCGCGGUAAUACGGAGGGUGCAAGCGUUACUCGGAAUCACUGGGCGUAAAGAGUGCGUAGGCGGAGUGGCAAGUCAGAUGUGAAAUCCUAUGGCUUAACCAUAGAACUGCAUUUGAAACUGCCACCCUAGAGUGUGGGAGAGGUAGGUGGAAUUCUUGGUGUAGGGGUAAAAUCCGUAGAUAUCAAGAGGAAUACUCAUUGCGAAGGCGACCUGCUGGAACAAUACUGACGCUGAUUGCACGAAAGCGUGGGGAGCAAACAGGAUUAGAUACCCUGGUAGUCCACGCCCUAAACGAUGGAUGCUAGUUGUUGGGGGGCUUUGUCCUCCCAGUAAUGCAGCUAACGCCUUAAGCAUCCCGCCUGGGGAGUACGGUCGCAAGAUUAAAACUCAAAGGAAUAGACGGGGACCCGCACAAGCGGUGGAGGAUGUGGUUUAAUUCGAAGAUACACGAAGAACCUUACCUAGGCUUGACAUUGAAGGAAUCUGCUAGAAAUAGCGGAGUGUCUAGCUUGCUAGACCCUGAAAACAGGUGCUGCACGGCUGUCGUCAGCUCGUGUCGUGAGAUGUUGGGUUAAGUCCCGCAACGAGCGCAACCCUCUUUCUUAGUUGCUAACAGGUGAUGCUUGAGCACUCUAAGAAGACUGCCUGCGUAAGCAGGAGGAAGGUGAGGACGACGUCAAGUCAUCAUGGCCCUUACGCCUAGGGCUACACACGUG